GUAGGAGAGGUUCUAGCUCACACCCUCUAUAAAAAACUAAGGAUAU
rfam:Pontibacillus yanchengensis Y32 contig47, whole genome shotgun sequence.